rnacentral:rRNA from 1 species
CCUUCCGUACACUCAGGGAUAGCCUUUCGAAAGAAAGAUUAAUACCUGAUGGUAUCUUAAGCACGCAUGUAAUUAACAUUAAAGAUUUAUCGGUGUACGAUGGGGAUGCGUUCCAUUAGGUAGUAGGCGGGGUAACGGCCCACCUAGCCGACGAUGGAUAGGGGUUCUGAGAGGAAGGUCCCCCACAUUGGAACUGAGACACGGUCCAAACUCCUACGGGAGGCAGCAGUGAGGAAUAUUGGUCAAUGGACGAGAGUCUGAACCAGCCAAGUAGCGUGAAGGAUGAAGGUCCUACGGAUUGUAAACUUCUUUUAUAAGGGAAUAAACCCUCCCACGUGUGGGAGCUUGUAUGUACCUUAUGAAUAAGCAUCGGCUAACUCCGUGCCAGCAGCCGCGGUAAUACGGAGGAUGCGAGCGUUAUCCGGAUUUAUUGGGUUUAAAGGGAGCGCAGACGGGUCGUUAAGUCAGCUGUGAAAGUUUGGGGCUCAACCUUAAAAUUGCAGUUGAUACUGGCGUCCUUGAGUGCGGUUGAGGUGUGCGGAAUUCGUGGUGUAGCGGUGAAAUGCUUAGAUAUCACGAAGAACUCCGAUUGCGAAGGCAGCACACUAAUCCGUAACUGACGUUCAUGCUCGAAAGUGUGGGUAUCAAACAGGAUUAGAUACCCUGGUAGUCCACACGGUAAACGAUGGAUACUCA